GACGAACGCUGGCGGCGUGCUUAACACAUGCAAGUCGAACGGAAAGGCCCUGCUUUUGUGGGGUGCUCGAGUGGCGAACGGGUGAGUAACACGUGAGUAACCUGCCCUUGACUUUGGGAUAACUUCAGGAAACUGGGGCUAAUACCGGAUAGGAGCUCCUGCUGCAUGGUGGGGGUUGGAAAGUUUCGGCGGUUGGGGAUGGACUCGCGGCUUAUCAGCUUGUUGGUGGGGUAGUGGCUUACCAAGGCUUUGACGGGUAGCCGGCCUGAGAGGGUGACCGGCCACAUUGGGACUAAGAUACGGCCCAGACUCCUACGGGAGGCAGCAGUGGGGAAUAUUGCACAAUGGGCGGAAGCCUGAUGCAGCAACGCCGCGUGCGGGAUGACGGCCUUCGGGUUGUAAACCGCUUUCGCCUGUGACGAAGCGUGAGUGACGGUAAUGGUAAAGAAGCACCGGCUAACUACGUG
rnacentral:rRNA from 1 species